ensembl:lncRNA
AUCCAGACAAGUUCUGCUCAAAGGAAUAAGCAGUCAUGCCUUGGAAGAAAUACUACAUUAUGGUAGAAUGGUGAGGAUUUAUAAUUAUUUUUGCUUGCCCAGCAGUUAACUUCAGUCUCGAUUUUUGUAUCUCAAGCAUACAAAAGCAGCAGAAGAUGCUGUUUCUGUGCUAUCAAAAUGCACAGAACACAUUUGCAGAAAUGUAGGGAGAGUAGAAAUAGGGCAUCCCAGUGAGAACAUUGGUUAGCUGGUCCUGGCAUAGAUGGGCUGCUUCAGGAUGGGAGCUGACUUUACGUUCAUUCUGAAAUGUUUAAUGUCAGUGCUAGCACUGCUAACAGAGAAGCUCAGUUCCAGUAGCUUUGGCACUAUAUUUUUGUGAUGUGAAACUGCCUACGACCACAAGACCAUUUUGUAGAGAGCACUGUAUUGCCUCUGAUAGUAAGAAAUUUUAGACCAUAUGAACGGGUCAUAUUUAAACCAUUGGCCUAUAGUAAAAAUAUUUUACAGUUCACCACUGGUUCUUUGAACUAUCCAUCCCUUGAACCACUUUUAAGAAGUUAUAAAAGGCAGUUCACAGUUUAUUCCUGCUGGGGAACGCUUAUAUCAACCUCUGAACUUCCUUGUUUCUGGACUGAGAAAAAUGGGUGCACUGUUUCUUCUCAUAAACAAGUUGUUCCCAUGUUCUGUGGGAAUGUUUAUAUCAAAGAACACUCCAUGUGCAGGUGGUGAUCUGAAAGAGUAAAAUACUUCCCAUUGCACCAUAACUGACCUUUCACAUGUUAGCUACACCCAGCUUCAAGCUGGGAGUUCUGUAUCUUCAGUUGAAUGAUAUUUCUAGCAGUCUGAAGAGGGAACCUCAGCAUUUGAAAAAAAAAUCUACCUCAUCACUGGUCUGCUCCAACACUGGCAAUCUUAAACACUCAGAAGAGUCCCUGAUGACCUGGCUUUCUCAUUGUGGCUUCAGUGCAAUAGAAGAAUGUACUCUCUUGUGAAUCACUGGCCAUGGGACCUCACUCCUUAGAGACAUCUGUCCACUGAGACCUCACUUUACUGUUGCAGUGACUAAGUAGGAAAUAGGAACCUCAAGGAAAGUGAUGCUGCAGUCAACAACUCCUCAGAGCCAUGGUGCAGCCCCAGCCCCUGCUCCCAUGACACAGCCCUGCACCUGAGCAGCACGCAGAUCUCAGGACCAUGCUUCUACAGCCAAAAACCUUUUCAUGGUGCCAGGACACUGAGCUUUUACACUAUCCAGCUGCCAUGGAGAUUUGGCCAGCUGAUUUAUUGCAAUCAGUUAUUAGUGCUGUACAUUGGUACUUUGAACAUGCACCCUAACCAGGAUGUCUUUCAGCUUGUUCAAAAGCUAAGUAAAAUGGUUUUUUUUUUCCUUCAUAUCGUUUCUCUCUUGUAUAAUCUGUAUGCCUUCAGUAAUAUAUAUGCAUUGCAUAUGUUCAUAGCAUACCCAUGCAAUAUAUGUAUGUAUUUAUCAGAUGCUCAUUCACAAAACCAAAUACAAAUAUAAAUUCAGGCAACAUGUGGUGUUUCAGUAAUCACCUUCAUGUUUGCUCUUCAGCAAGAAUAAGCCCUAAAUUAAAGGUAUAUAGACCUCCCUCCUUGGUGUGCUUACACAUAUAUUAUAUGUGUACAUACAUAUUUAUCAACAUAUAAAUGAAUAGUAUUUUCACUGUAUGAAUAACCCAAUGAAGUGAGAUGGUACAACAUAUAACUGAAUUGGUAAAAUGUUCCCUGUAGGGUGGUGAUAAUUCACAACAUCCUGAAUCUAUGACAAUAAAUACAGAGACAGUUUAUCAAGGAGAAAACAGCAACUUGCCUCUGUAAAAGAAUACUCUUGCAGAAUUACCCAUCUACCCCACUGAAACCACAGGGUUACAGUCCCACCCUUUUCUGUUACCAGGCUAGGAACAGAAAUUUUGCAG